UACUAUUAAAUAUCUGUUUCUAAUUCAUAUGCAUUCACUUCUCAGUAAAAUCUUGAAAUCCGUCGUCAUUAUGUUUUUAAAUACAUACUGACUAAACAUAAUAGCGUUAAUUUUAAACUUUCAAAGUCCAGGGACGGAGACGUGUUUUUCAAUUACACCCACUCUUCAUUAUAGGAAAAACUAAAUUAUUUGAUUUGAUUUAAAUAUUAAAAUAAUAAAAAGUAAAUAUUUGAACUUUGUUUUUAUUUAGACGUGAAAAUUCUGGUAUACAACAUUUGAAAAGAGACAAUAGACAUUAAAAUCGAACUGAACUAAUUAAAUCAUGACAAAAUUUUAUAUCCAUAGAUAUGACUAUUCUGCUUGUUCAUCUGGAUGAUGAUACUGACUCCUUUUCCUUUGCACUGGAACUGGAAGAAGCAGUAAUAAUUCUGUAGAAAUCUUCUGCUUCGGGAGGUGCAACCGAAGUAUUUAAGCAGCUUUUCAACAUUUUUCGCAUUCUCUAAAGAGACUUUGCUGGAUGGUUCAAUCUCGUGAGCAUCUUUCAAAAAGUAUAUCCACAUUUUCUUGAGGAUAUAGCAAAAUGUUUCAUCCCGUUCAUACAGACUUUAGACGCCAUUCUUAAUUUUUUGAGAUUUGUCUCGUGAAUAACUGAUUAAAUUUUUUGUGAUAUUUUGAAAAGAAGUACCGUUUACAAGUAGUUUUUUUGGUACUAAUUUAUGAUAAACUUUCCAAUCAGAUUCAUAUAUUAGUAUAGUUCCAUGAUUGUGAAAUAUUUUAUAGUAAUCUCCAGAUGUUAGAGCUGAGUAGUAAUGAGAUAUUACUUUCUUCACCUGCCCGAAUACUUGAUCCGGUACAUGUAGCUGUGGCCUUUCACUGGGAAAAAAUGCAUUAUUUUCUUCCACUUUGAAGUCGUUAUGUAUCCAUUUAAUGCGGCAAUAACUAAAAUUUUUAGUUGUUGUGUUGUACUAUCACCAAAUAAAUGGACCUCGUAUUUUUAUUUAUUUAUUUCCAUCCUAAGUAUUGAGUACAUUUGGAUGACCCCCAGACAAUGUAACAAAAUAAACAAAACAAAAAAAAAGAAAAUAAUACAAAAGCAAAAUACAGAUAGCCCUCAGUUUACACCAGCUCAAUUUACGCCAAUUCACGAUAACGCCGCUGCACAACUCGCCAUUUUGCCGUGUAUUUCUCUGAUUCUUCCUAUUCUAGACUGAUUUUCAUUUCAGUGUUGAUAUAUUUACUGAGCUGCGACGUUGUGCAUUUGUUAAAACAAAG
rnacentral:lncRNA from 1 species